rnacentral:lncRNA from 1 species
UCAUACACUACAAAUAGAUUACAUCUAUGCUCAGUUCCUAGAAUAAGAGGCGACGACUUUGCCCAUUGAUCGCAAUCUUACUCCAUAAAAUUAUGAAUAUCAGCCUCACCAUAUGAAUUUAUUCAUAUAAGCACUCAUGUCUCAUAAUAUGCCCAGUCUCGCGAAUUAAUGAUUUAUCCUCAGUGGCUAGUGAUAUAAUGUUAUGUCAUGCAUAUUCUUAUAUCAGAUUUCU